rnacentral:rRNA from 1 species
UUGCCAGACUCCUACGGGAGGCAGCAGUGAGGAAUAUUGGCCAAUGGCCGGAAGGCUGAACCAGCCAAGCCGCGUGAAGGACGAAGGUGCCAAGCAUUGUAAACUUCUUUUGUCAAGGGACAAAAUCAGGCUCGAGAGCCUGACCGAGGGUACUUGAAGAAAAAGCAUCGGCUAACUCCGUGCCAGCAGCCGCGGUAAUACGGAGGAUGCGAGCGUUAUCCGGAUUUAUUGGGUUUAAAGGGUGCGUAGGCGGACUGUUAAGUCAGGGGAAAAAGCCCGGGGCUCACCCCGGGCGAGCCGUUGAAACUGUCGGACUAGAGACGGCGAGAAGUACGCGGAAUGCGCGGUGUAGCGGUGAAAUGCAUAGAUAUCGCGCAGAACUCCGAUUGCGAAGGCAGCGUACCGGCGCCGGACUGACGCUGAGGCACGAAAGCGUGGGUAUCGAACAGGAUUAGAUACCCUGGUAC